rnacentral:rRNA from 1 species
GACGAACGCUGGCGGCGUGCUUAAUACAUGCAAGUCAACUGAACUUAAAGUAGCAAUAUUUUGAGGGAGGUGGCGCACGGGUGAGUAACACGUAGGUAAUCUGCCUUUAGGUCUGACAUAAUUCCGCGAAAGCGGGACUAAUAUCAGAUGAUGCAGCGGCUCGACAUCGAGACAGUUUGUUAAACCUUCGGGGCCUAAAGAUGAGCCUGCGUCUGAUUAGGUAGNGGCGGAGUAAAAGCCCACCAAGCCUGCGAUCAGUAGCUGGU